rnacentral:rRNA from 1 species
CCCUUAGAUGUUCUGGGCCGCACACGCGCUACACUGAAGGAGGCAGCGUGUACUCCUGGAUCGAAAGAUUUGGGUAACCCGCGAAUCUCCUUCGUGCUAGGGAUUGAGGUUUGCAAUUAUCCUUCAUGAACGAGGAAUUCCCAGUAAGUGCAAGUCAUAAGCUUGCGCUGACUACGUCCCUGCCCUUUGUACACACCGCCCGUCGCUCCUACCGAUUGAGUGGUCCGGUGAAUAAUUCGGAUUGCGGUGCUGGAGCUUCGGCUACUAGCGCUGUGAGAAGUUUAGUGAACCUUAUCACUUAGAGGAAGGAGAAGUCGUAACA